UUGCUAUCCAGAGUGGCGGAAAGGGAACUGGCCCGAUUGAUCCGCCCCCCAACCUCCGAAGACUCGGCACGGUGGGACCUCCAGCCCCAUAGGGGGAAGAUAGGUC
rnacentral:ncRNA from 1 species